AACGAACGCUGGCGGCAUGCCUAACACAUGCAAGUCGAACGAGACCUUCGGGUCUAGUGGCGCACGGGGGCGUAACGAGGGGGAACCUGCCCUUAGGUUCGGAAUAACUCCCUGAAAGGGGUGCUAAUACCGGCUAAUGUCUUCGGACCAAAGAUUUAUCGCCUUUGGAUGGGCCCGCGUUGGAUUAGCUAGUUGGUAGGGUAAACGCCUACCAAGGCGACGAGACAUAGCUGGUCUGAGAGGAUGAUCAGCCACACUUGGACUGGGACGCGGCCCAGACUCCUACGGGAUGCAGCAGUGGGUAAUAUUGGACAACGGGCGAUGGCCUGAUCCAGCAAUGCCGCGUGAGUGAUGAUGGCCUUAGGGUUGUACAUCUCUUUUACCCGGGAUGAUAAUGACGGUACCGGGAGAAUAAGCUCCGGCUAACUCCGUG
rnacentral:rRNA from 1 species